AACGAACGCUGGCGGCAGGCUUAACACAUGCAAGUCGAACGGGCGUAGCAAUACAUCAGUGGCAGACGGGUGAGUAACACGUGGGAACCUUCCUCGGAGUACGGAAUAACGCAGGGCAACUUGAGCUAAUACCGUAUACGUCAGUGAGGAGACAGAUUUAUCGCCCUUAGACGGGCCAGCGUCGGUGUAGCUAGUUGGGGGGGUAACGGAGUACCAAGGCGACGAUCCGUAGCGGGUCUUAGAGGAAUGUCAGAGACUCUGGGAGUGGGACACGGCCCAGACUCGUACGAGAGGCAGGAGUGGGGAAUCUUGGACAGUGGGGGCAGGCCUGAUGGAGCCAUGCCGGUUAAGUGAAGAAAGUCUUCAGAUUGGAUAGCUCGUGUACCAGGGACGGUAUUGACGGUACCUGGAGAAUAAGCCCCGGCAAACUUCGUGCCAGCAGCCGCGGUAA
rnacentral:rRNA from 1 species